CUCUAUUGUUGAAGAGCAGAAAAUUUUCAGAAUGGUUUAAGAGAUUGAAUGCUCUAUUUUUUCAUUCAGUGUGAAAGAAUGCAUUCAUCGGACGAAAACUCCACGGAUGAUUCAGACUGUGGAAAUGUCAGCUACUGUGAGAUGGAAAACGACAAGGAUGAUACUCAAAAUAUAUCAAAGAAUGAUGCAGUUCUUAAUUUUCUAGCCAUCUUUAGCUUUAGUUUAUUCAUCGGCCUUUUUCUACUUCAAGCCAAUAUAGCGUGGCGAUCAUAUCAGUCUUUAAAUUACCUAUCAGGAAGACGUUCACCCGAAGAUGUUCUGGAGAUGUAUUUUGAUUACAAUGUUUGGGGUCGUGAUAUGAACGGUGUGGAUCUGAAAGUGAAUACCAGUAUAUUUGUUCACUGAGAGAGACUUGAACUUUGAUCUGAGAUAGAUAAAAACUACAUGCAACUGCUGAUUUAAUAGAUCCAACAUAUGAGAAUAAAUUAAAAGGAUGUAUUCAAUGUAAAGUAGUGGACAAUUACUAAAAAUAAUGAUCAUUUGGAGUUGAUUUUGUAAUGCCAUCUUAAAUUAGCAGUAAAGAUAAAAUAAUUCUGAAUCCAUUCCAAUCGAAGCUAGGAAAUUAUUCAUACAUUUUUGUGCUUGGAUCAUCUUGGUCAUUGCAAUAAAAAGUAUAAUACUUUAAAUUGGUAUAUAUUGCUGACUUUUUAGAUAUUUCAGGGCAAUCUUACAUACAUGUAUUAUUUUGUCUUAAUGGCACUUUGUGUUGUGGUUUUGCAUAAACUGACCUGCUGUAAAGGAAUCUUAAUUUAAUCAGUUGUAGCUGUUCGGAAUACAGAUCAGAUCAAUCACUUUUAGAACUAAAGGUGCCAAAAUAAAGGUUAAAUAUAGGAUUUAAGAACAUACUUAGUCAAAAGUUCUUUUAUUUGACCCCCCCCCCCCCCCACAUAUUUUUUCUAAAAAUGAUGACAAUCAAAUAACUCAAACUGAAAGCAGCAUUAUGGAAGAUCAGAUAAAAACCAGACAGUUCUCGCAAUAAUAGUUUAAAAAUACUAAUAAUGUAGCCUCGAUUGUCAUUGUUACCGUUGUUAUGAUAAUAAACAAAGUCUCGAUCAUCCAUUUUUACAGUUAAUCAUAAGCAGCCGUUGAACCGCAGAUCAGAUUAAAGUCUGUUUAAAAUCUUAUCCAUCAGAUGGUGUCGAGAGUUGAUUAUGGUCUUGUCAUGUUAAUAAAUGUCUAAUUAAUAGUUUAUAAAACAUUUAAGGCCUAAAGAAAGACCUGCAAUAGGCAGAUUUAGCUCUUGUAUAAUGUAUGUUUAAACAUGCAUUAUGCAAGAGCCAAAAUACGUCUAUUGCGGGUCUUUCUUUAAUUAACUUAUCACGACCAUAAUCAAGUCUUGAUGCCAUCGUUAGCCUGCGAUAUUUAGUGGAUCUGAGUAUGUUUUUUGAUGGAUGAUUUGACGUUAAAAUGGAUAAUUAGGACUUUGGUUAUUAUCGUACGAACAGUAGUAAUGAAUCGCUAAUAUCUCGGUUCAGAGUGAAGCAAUUUGACUGAAAUUGUCAGCAUAUUAUCUAUUUUUUAACUAUUAUAGUGAGAACUGUCAGCUCUUUAUCUUAUCUUACCUAAUUCUCCUAUUUAAAGCUAAUUCUUCUAUGAUAGCUAUUUAACAUAUUUUUGAGUUUGCCUUUUUGUUCAGAAAUACAAUUUCACAGACAGAACUACGGCAAUGAUCUUACUGGUUUAUGGAAAAGUGAAGAAAAAUUUGGGGAUAUUUGGACAUAAACGUGACACUUUCCUAUGUAAUUAUGGAAUACAGUUACCAGUACUGUUUAUUACUGACUGACGUAUCAACUAGUAUUGUCUAGUCGUUAUCAAGAAGACAAUAAAUGUCACUCAGAAAUAAACAGUACCGGUAAUUGUAAAUUCAAUAGAGUUAUGUCGUUUGUAUAUAGUUCAGUUACUAAAUACCAUUGAAACAUGAUACACAUGUAAGAGAGUAAGAAACCUGUUAAAUUUUACAUUUACAUUGCUAUUUAUUUUUUGUUUUUCUUUGAAUUUAUUGUAAAUAUACAUGUAAUAUAUUUAAAACAGAAUAUUUUGUAAGUAAAAAAUCAACUAAUGUAUUUGAAUAUGAAUGACUGUGCUAAGAAGAGGAUUUAUUAUACAUGUAAUGUACUAAAUUGUUUAAAUAUUAAAACUGAUACAUGUUUAAUGUAAUAAGGACUGGAUAAUGAAUGUCGAUAUAAUAUAGUCAUAUAUUAAAGAAGUAGUCUGGCCAUUACAGACUUAUUAUAUAUUUGAUUCUUUAUCUAGUAUUAAAGAGUUACAACAAUGCAUAACCCGAGUUAAAAAUCGUCCCUGUUAAUAAAAUAAUUAACACAUGCUGUAAUGUUGUGAGAGGAACUAUCAUCCACAUUAAAUAAAAAAUACAGCUGCACAUACAUGUAUGUGAUGAGCUUCAGUGUUAGUUUUCAAAUUAAAGACAAAAAACAUCUGUAUUUUGGGUUGAACAUAGUUAAAACUAUUUAAUAUUGAAUAAUUAAUAAAACAUAAAAAGUCUGCAAUGGGUUGAGUUCUCCUUUAAUUCAUAGUUACAAUAUAUAUGAAUACCUAUCGAUAAAGUGCUCUUAAAAAUCUCAUUAUUCUAUGAAUAAUUAUGUUAUCUAUGUUGCUUUAAUUAAUUAUUAAUUGUAACACUAUGAAUUAGAAUAGAUCUUAUAAUGAUGUGGCAUUUAUGUACAUCAAGAGAUGAGCUUCAAUUUAUUAAAAAAUUUCUAAAACUGAAUACAUGGUAGUAAUUUACAUAUUUUUCAAGUUGGGGUAGUUUCUUACUUUAAAGUGAAUUCAGUCCCAAGUUAAUUGAAAAAGUUAAAAUAGUACACAUUUUUAAUAAAUAAUUCUGGCCAAUCUGGUAAAAUAAAAGUCAUUUAGAAAUAUUUUAAGGGAAAUAUUGUGUAGUUUGUCUAUUUUAAAGGUGCAAUCUAUAUAUUACCGUAGUUUAUUUUUUACAUUAAUUUGCAAAUCAAUAACUUUACCAUGUGAAGACCUAUCACAUAUUAAUGAGAAUUGGUUUUUGACACCAUUAUUUUUAUGUAUUGAUUUAUGUACAAGGUAGGUGGUCUUUGAUACAGAAAUGUUUUGUUUUUCAAAACAUCAAGGCUAACAAGUGGAUUUUCUGUGUAACAGGCCGUUUAUUUACAUCAGAAAAAUCAACAGGGUGUAUUUAACUUCAGAAGUAAUGAAAAAAAAAUAUUGUAUAUGUAAAUACAAAAUUUGUCAAUGUUUUUAUGCAUGAUAAUGUACAGAAUUGCUUUGAUAUUCUUGAACAAUUUCUUAAACAAUUCUUGAUUAAAGCGACUUAUUCACUUUGCUCUGAAUUAGAAACAGUUAAAUCCAAAGCUUGCAUCAAAUCUAAAAUAAAUUUGGUAGGUUCUAAUUGGAUCCAAAAUCAUUUAAUUCUUACCCAAAACCGAAAUGUCUGCCAAAAAAGAAAUAAUGAAAUCUUUGAAGUUUGUUAGUUAUGAAAUCGGAUUGUUUUGGAUUGGACUCGGUUCGAAUACAAGACCUUUAGUUUGUUAAUACAACUACUGAAAGAUGAAGAAAAAAUAAUAGAAGUUAGAAUAAAAUAUCAACGUGUAACCAAAGGUAUUAAUUCUGAUACCACUGUAUUCUAGUCUACUAAUGUUAUAGUUGGGUAGCCGAUCAGAAUCGUGGACAACACAAUUAUAUAUGUGUGUGUACAAGAAUAUGUAAUGAGGUCAAUAAGGAUAGUGCAAGGUGAACAUAAAGCAGCAUGAAAACUUUCCACAUAUAGCUAAUACUGAUUUUUUUAUUGAUUUUUUUUUAGUGUUGUAUACUUUAUGCAAACUUUACAACUUGACUCCUUAACUACUGCUUACAUGGUGUUGUGAAUGUUUUAUAUUUUCUAAUUUUGAAUUGAAAUAAGCUUGGCUCAUCUGACAUGAGAAUGGAUAUUUUUUACAGGAACAAGUGCAGAAAGGAGAACAGUUCAGAUAAAUGAUUCAUACAGUUAUUAGAGCAUUCAUAGUUUUAAGUUAUGGUAGUCAUUGAGUUGUAAGGUAGCCAUAUACUUCAGUCUAUAAAUACACCUAAUUGAGUAUAAGCUAGCUAUUGUGAUAUUUAUAACAUUGUCAGAUUAAAUAAUAUGUAUAAUGCAUGUACCAGAAAUAUAUUUAAUUAUAUAAAAAGAAUUACAAAUCA